GUAGGGUGCGAGCGUUAUCCGGAAUCAUUGGGCGUAAAGAGCUCGUAGGCGGUUCAGCAAGUCGGCUGUGAAAUUCCGAGGCUCAACCUCGGAACUGCAGUCGAUACUGCUGUGACUCGAGUCCGGUAGAGGAGAAUGGAAUUCAGGGUGUAGCGGUGAAAUGCGCAGAUAUCCUGAGGAACACCAGCAGCGAAGGCGGUUCUCUGGGCCGGUACUGACGCUGAGGAGCGAAAGCGUGGGUAGCAAACAGGAUUAGAUACCCUGGUAGUCCCACGCCCGUAAACGUUGGACACUAGGUGUGGCGUUCCGACCAACGGGUGCCGUGCCGAAGCUAACGCAUUAAGUGUCCCCGCCUGGGAGUACGGCCGCAAGGCUA
rnacentral:rRNA from 1 species